CAGCAUUUUGCACCCGCUGAUUUCAAACUUUAUUUUGUAAUUUAUAAAAGGUAAAAUGUUGCGACUUAAAUCAGGGUGAAUGUCUUUUGACAAACAUGAACCGUCUGUGAACAUGUUCCAGGUUGUAGCAACAGGGCUGAAGGAGGUAACUGGCUUGCAGCUACAAACAACAUUAGGUACACUUCACUCUAUAAGGUUAACCAGAAAGGAAAUUACGCAGAGCAAAUUUUCCUUGGUUAAAGCUUUCCAAAUUGUAUUUACAUUUAAUUAAAAAGUUGACACAUUAGCCAUUUUUUCUAUGCUUUUUUUUUGCAGAUUCUGCCCUAGUUCAGCAUUUCACUAUCAGAUGUUUAAUGAUAAUCUUUUUAUAAAUAAUAAGGUAUUUAUACAGUUUUGCCUUUAACCCUGGGGCUUGCUUUAUAAGCUUAAUAAGUUCCCAAACAUAUUAUUAAGAGCUGCUGACAAAAAAUGAACACUGAACCAAAGUGCAUUUUGAUAUUAGAUUGACUAUUCCUCAGGAACCAUAGGAUUGCAUGUUAAGAAACCAAUGAGUAGUCACCAUGUAAAAUUGACAUUAUCUGUUUCAAAACUGGAACAAUUUCUUAUCUAAUGUGUGUGUUUAUACUGCACCAAUCACAGUGGAAUCUACACACUAGAAAAAUAUCAAAAGCACAGAGUUAUUUUUUUAACUGACAAGAUUUUGGAUGUGUCAAACUGAGAUUUCCUGUAAUGAAGUUGAUUUCUGGAGUUAGGUACUCAACCUUUCUCAACAUCAGGCACCUUUAAGAUACCUCCAAUUAAGCAGACAGCUAUUUAGUUUCUGUUAGUAAAAAUGAUGGAUUCUUUGCUUUUUAAUUGUGGGACAGGUUACACAAAAUGAGCUGUUAAUUUAUUUCUGAAGCUGAUGAGAUUCUUGUUUGAAUCACUAGAACCACUCUAGAUAAUUUGUUCCAAUGUGGUUAGAAAGUUUUUUCCUGAUAUCCAGUCUCUCUAGUGCUACAUUCUAGUCAUUCAUCCAUCAGCUAUCAAGAAAGAUGUGUCUCCUAUGUACCCAACUAUCAGCCCCAGUGUUUGAGGAUCUUAUUCUGUAGAGCGUGGCUGCUGUGAGAAGUGAUGGUUUUCCAAAAGAGCCAAUCUCUUUGACAGCUUGGACUAAUUCCCAGGAAGAGCUUUGGAGGUUAGGAUCAACCCCUGUUCAGUGGUGAAAAUUGGACACGGGGGUGAUAUACUCUCCUCUGAGCCUUGCAUUACUAAGCAGGCCAGUGCAUUCUCAACCAAAUGAAGGGUUUUCAAGGUCAGUGUUUUGCAAAGAAAUACAUAUAUAUAAAUUGUGGAGGCUGUGAAUGCUUUGCUCACAGUAACCAACUGGAAACAGAGAGGCUGGGGUUGCUGCGUCAGGUGUAGGUGAAAGAGAGAGUUAUUAGCAGCUAUAGUUGUUUAGGUAUCCAGCAAGAGGAAUGGUCCCCAAGACCUCCACACCCGCAAUUAGUGGUGGAUGAUGUUUUGGUGGUGGGUAGUCUUUGAUGUGCUUUCUUUCCCCCCAUAAAGCAUCAUUUCCAUCUAAACCCAGCCUAAGCCUCAGCCAGCUGCCUGCUCCCAAGUGAUGAUCAUUCUCAGUUGCUGUGAGGAAUUAUCAGCUCACUUAUUAAAGCACUAAUUAAUAACUUAUUACAUUUUCACAAUAGAAGCAUGUACACAAAGGGCCACUGAGUUGCGCAUUACAGCAGCAGAAUAUAAUCGACAGUGAAACAACAACAAGAUAUAUUCAUGUGGUGCCCAGACAUGCCCAUGUAUUGUGAGUGAAGCUGCUAAGUGAUGAGUAUAUGUGUUGGAUAUUUGACUGGGGUAUCUUAGAACAGAAGAAAAAAGAAAGUAAGUAGAGUGGAGGAAAGAAGGUGUUUGUUUUUUUUAAAGGAUAGAUUGUUGAUUUCUAAUUCCCAAUACCACAGGGUAAUGUGAAAAUUCAGAUAUCAAGAGCGUCCUAUGGAGAUACAGUACCAUAGGAUAUGGGUCUGAUAAGAGAAAUCUCAUCAAAUUGUAGAAGCAUGCAGUGUACAUAAUGUUGUUUCACCUGUCAGCAUCACCGAGCAACUUGUGUGGGCAUAGAUGACAUGUAGGGGGAGCACAAAGGGGUAUGUGCCCCCCCCGCCUAGAUUUCUGUGCCAGCAGUGGGGCAUAGGGCUGCAGCUCAGCGGGAGCUAGGGGGCAGCAAUGGUGAAGGCAGUUGGAGUUGCACCCCCCCCCGCAAAAACUUGCACGUUGUCUAUGUGUAUGGGUACUAGUGACAUAAUUUAACAAGUGUGAUGGAAUAAUCCUGAAUAUGCCCACCCAAAAGAAAACAGUUUCUUAUAGUGUCAUUUUUAACUCACUAACUGAAGCUCAAAUCUGUUGUGGAAAGAGAGUUAACUAAAGAAAGAGGGCAUAAGAACUAAAUAGAUGAGAAUUUCAAGGCUGCCCCAAUAUCCAUCUGAAGAGAAAUGAUAAGAAAAAUGACUUAGUGAAAAAAAAUCCACAUUUUGUGGGAAAUGAAAGUCAGAUUCAAAAUUUCUAAGAAUUCUGCCCAGCUCUAGAUGGGAAGCCUGGGUUCCAGUGAUGGCCAGCAAAGUUAGAGGGCAAGUUAUCCUGACGAGUGGCAACCUAACUCUCACAAGUCAUGACAAACCCAGACACACAUGGACACACAUGGAUCAGGACUGACUUUCAAAGGACAGGUUAUGGCGGAUCUAAUUUGCAGUCAGCGUACCGCACGUGCACAAAAUGAGCUUCCACCAACAAGGAUACUCAGGACCCAACAUACUCUGACUUCUAAAAGAUACAGAACAGCUUCCCCCUAGUAUUCCUUGGCUUUCUACCAUUUCUCCAGGAGUCUGGGCAUUGCACAAUCUCAGUGCUCCACUUCUGACACCCUGGAAUGAUCUUAUGUUCUCUCUUUUUAAUGAUCCACAUCCCCAUCUAAUCGCCUUUUCUAUUGGGUUGUUAUAAAGUCGGAGCUUCUUCCAUCUACACCUCAAAUGGAAGGGAGGGGCUUUAUCCCACAACAUCACUGGUUUUUAGGGACCUAAAAUCAGUCUGCCUCUGAGGAAAAAGCAUAUUCUGGAGAUGAAAAGUAGGGACCUGGGUGAUGGGAAAGUAGGACUUCUCCCAUCAGCUGCUCUCUCCCAUAUCUGUACAACUAGGUUGAUAUUAGUAACAAGUGAUUAUAUGAGAAGCAUUCACACAUUGUGAGGAAGACCUAGAUGUUUAAAGGUAUUGCGGCACUAAAUUGCUAUUGAUUUCUAUGAGUUAGGUCCCUAAAUACUUGUGACGGUCUGGGUUGAUCCACUUUGGCCUGAGCAGGGGUGGCCAGCCUCCAGGCUCUGCAGAUGUGCAUGCUCUGUAGGCUCAAAGCAGUCCGGAGAGAGGGCUCGGCUGUCAGCGUAGUUGGUCAGUGUAAAGAUUUAGCUGCACCACUAACAUGAAGAAAAAAGGUGCUGCCCAGCCAGAUUCCUCCGACUGAAACUGAAAAUGCAUCCUUAACAACUACACUUCUCAGGGAUCAUGAGGAAAAAUAAGCAAUCAGAAUAAUGGAUUUGCCAGCAGGCUGAUCCAAAGCUCCCUGAAGUCAAUAAAAAGACUCCUGCUGAACUGAAUGGGCUCUGGAUCAGAUCCAAGUGCCUUAUACUGCUGACCACCCUGGGACAUUGCCCCAUACCUUUUACUAAUGGGAAUGGAAAACAUUUUAAAGGCACUCAGGCAAACGCAUCCAUUGAUUUUAAUGCAGCUUGGCCCUGGACCAGUCUGGCCUACUACAAGCAUCUGAUUACUAAAAGCCAGAAGUAACUUUUAGUAUUCCUCAAACUGCAAAUGAGGCACACAUGGUCCCACAUCUCCCCCUGCCAUGCUCAGGCUCCAGCAGUAUUAAGGAAUGGCUUUAGAUCCUUUGCUUUUGAGGCCGAUCCAGUCUUCCAAGCCUGUGAGAAUAUAGAUGAAUCAUUAUCAUUGUUGUUGCUAUUAUUGUGAUGCUGCAGGAAUUGAUAUCACUGGAAAUCAUCACACACAUUCAUUUUCAGCAAGGCUAAACUUCUGAACUUCUAGAGUUGUUUCUUUUAUGUUGCCUUCCACAAAGACGUUCUGUCCACUUUAGCAAUGCAUGGAGUAAGGGUGACAGCCUGUGGCAAAACAGAAGAAUUUCAAUACCUUAAUCCUAUUGAUUUCCACUUUCUUUUGAUCUUGGCUGUACUUCCUGCUUGUCAGGCAAGACAGAGGUGAUAAAGCUUGGGUCAAACUCUUUUAGCUGCUGCGAGGAACCUCUGUUUCUUUUUUCUUUUUUUGCUUUUUAUUUGUUUCAAAGAUGAAAAAUUGGCUUUGUUCCUCCCACCCCUUCAGCCUUCCCCAACUUGGGGCCCUAAGGCAAAUAGCAAUAAAUAGCAAAAUGGUCCAAACGGGUGCCAUUUCUGAUUGCAGAACUUGAAGGCUCUGGGUCUGGCAUACGCUCUUCCAGGAAGUCUCCCCCCGUGCUUGUUCUGGUGGGAUCUCAGUCUGGGUUUGAUGCCAGCGGAGGAAAUGGAAGAGCAGCAAAGACAGCUGCUUCAGUACAAAUUCUCUGGGUGCAUUACUCUUGCCCUGUUACUGUUUAUCUGUGGCAUUGGGCUGAUAGGUAUUAAAGCCACUCCUGAGCUGAGGUCUUCUAGUUGGCAGGGCAACAAUCUGCUAUCUCACCAGCAAGGCAACAGACUUCUUGCUUCUAAUAACAUGUUAGUCAUUUUUCAUUCCUGAAAUUUCUAUGCUGGGUUGGGCUUUUUUUUUUUUCUUCUUCGGCUUGAGCAGUAGGGUUAAGAAAAUCUAUAUUCUUUCUAUAUUGUGCCUGAAUUAAUGAAAUAAAUCUUCUUUAAAGUGAUGUUAAAUGAGUCACAGAUGGUUCUGCCCUUUUACAGGUUGCAGAAAUGGCCCAUUACAGUUCUUUUAAUUUAUCUGGGGGGGGCGGGGGGAGAGGAAAUAAAUGCCCUCUUGAUCCCUUUGCAAUAAUAAUCAGAAACACUCUAUUUGGGGUCUAAUUUAUCCAAAAUAUGUAUUGAUAGUUGCAAUGAAGAAUAUGUGACCUCUUUGGAAGUCACCAGUGGAUGGAAGGUAGAUAGUUUUUAUAAAACCACAUUUAAUAAAAAAGAGUGUUAUAUUGAGUAUGUUUGCUGGUGUAUUUAAGCAUAUGGUUUCCAUAUCAGGAGCUAAGAUGGCAAACACAUGCUUUACCUUCUGACUAACCUUUCUUAUAUUACCCACUCCUUACAAACAGAAAACUGAGAGAGGCUUUUUGUUGGUUUUUUUCAGCUCUGAUUAUAUGAAAUGGUGCUGAAGAAUUUUCAAAAAGAGUGUAAAGCUUAUACCUUUCUAUUUAUGCAGAAAGAAGCGACGAAAUACAGUUUGGCUCUUGGUCUCACCCCAUUGACUCCCUUUCCGUCUUGCUGGGUGUUUCUCUUAAAUUUACUGAGUAAUGAUUUCAUGCUUUGUAAACUCAUUCUUUAAAAUCCUGCUCCUCUGUUGUCAAAUGUGGGUGCCCUAACACAGGGCCCUUAUGUGAAUGCUUGAAUUAAUACUUGAAUACUUGAAUUAAUAGCCUGAUUCUCCUGGCAGUCAGUAGCUACAGUUACAGGAUUUCUGAGUGCUCAACACUUCUGGAAAUAAGGUCAACUCCCUUGUUUGUGGUGCCUACAGAUGGAUUUGGGGACUUAAUUUAAGCAUCUAGGCUUGCACUUUUUACCCCCCCACCCAAGGUAAUAUUUCCCCCUCACCCCUGUGACUAGUUUGGCUUUUAAUUCAGAGCACACUAAAAAUGUUACGGACAGAAACCAUAACUCUCACAUAAACCAAACCCUCUUUCUGUAAUGCAGUUCCUGGAAUUCAAGAGUUGUAACCAACUGUACCAAACUAGUGCCAGGGGGGACGCAUCAAUAAGAGGUGCAUUAUUGGCUUUUUUAUAAGAGUGCUUUUAGUUUUCCAGCGGCAAAUGCCCAGCUCUUUCCAUCCUGCCUUUGCAAGCCCAGUCACAACCCCCUGGAGCCAAGGAGCAGUGACUGCCCUGCAGGAUGAAUGAUCCACAGCCAGAGUUCAGGGCUCUCCCUGAUAGCACUUACUUGCUUCGCUUUAGCCAGUUAUAAAUCUCGUGGUGCCAUUGCUUUUUCGUCACUUGCCUAAUCCUGUGCCCUUCUUUUCAUGUGUUGUAAUUACUAACAUCUGCUUUCUGAGCCUGAGCCGUGCGGAGCUUGCAAAGGCAGCUUCCACCCAGAACAAUGGCAACAGCUGUUUCAUUUACCCUUGGGCCAGCGCUUCCUGUUCAGUCUACAGCUGCCCUUCUGUGUCCAAUUUAUGUUCAGGGGGGUGUCGGUGACCUUACUUUCUGGGUGAGGUUGGAUUGGAUCCCCUCCACCACUGCCCGUCCUCACUUCUGGAGCCACGGGGCUGCGGGAGAUCUCCGCUUCCAAGCCAAGCGUCUUGCCCUCGGGGCUGGGGGCAUGAAAUGUCUCCAAAUUGUGACCCCUGAAGACUCCAAAGCCAGAAAGCGCAGACAAAGAACCGCACGUUUCGUUUUCCUUUGAAGUCUCAUGAUUUUCCCCUGCCUCCCUCGCGGGUUUCAGACGUUUGAGGCAGCGCUUACAGAUGUGUCUGCAGCGGUGCAGCGCCGCACCAGCGCACCGGCGCCCAGCCCGGCCCCGGACCUGGCUGCUCGCCCCUGAGGCCCAGGUGCUUGUGAGAAGUGAAUGCACUGCCUGGCAGGGAUGGGAACUCGUCAGGGACAGGCAGCUUGAGCCCCUCCACUCUGCCCAGAUCAGGACCUCACCCCUGCUCCCAGCGACCACCCUCCCGAGGGCCAGCCCUAGUGCAGUGUCCUCCAGCCCGGCCCGGAUCCGCUGCCCUGCAUCACGCCUGGGGGUGCUCUGCCCCCUGCACUGCGCACAAAGAAAGAACAAAGACGCAGGUCGCACAACGGAAUCAAGUGGUUCCCUAAUCAUCCCAAAGUCUGCUGCAGGCCAUCCGAACACACAAGCAGCACAUUCUUCUGAACCUGAAGAGUUCAUGGUCUACAAAUUUAGACCAGAGGAAACAAGACAAAGUAAGAAAAAGUGGCUAGAAAUAAGAAGAGGAAAUGGACAAAGUUAAAGGUUUGGACAGCAGAGUUCAUAAGAAGUGGACAGAUUAUGUAACCCCCCACAUCAAUGUACGUUACUUUAAUCUGGUGUAGAGAUACCUCAGUGAAAAUUGGAGGUAAAAUUACACCGGUGUAAAUUACAUUGGGGUAAGUGUUGUCCGUUCUCUUCCACCCUGGGGUAGUCUUUCUACGUGUAUAGCCAGACCUAGAACACUAAAAGCUACUUGUCUAUAGACCAUUGCCCUGCCUAAAAUCCAGUUUGGGGUUAUGAAAGCUGACAGCAUUAAUAAACUGAAGAUAACUGAACAAAACUGCAGCUGUUAUGUGGUCAGUAACCCAGAAAUGGAGACCGUAUCUUCACUGAAUUGAAUCAUUUCCAGAUAAAUACUAGUUGAGCAGCAGGGAAAUUUGGUCCAAAUUUGUACUACAUUUUCCCCUGCCUAAUUUGGAGCAGACAGUUGUAUUGAUACUCAUUAGGGCUGUGUGAAAGUUCAGCAGCCGUUUCAUUUCGGAGGUGUUUUGCAGCCCAAAACACCGAGUCUGAAUCGAAACAGAAGGCUCAGAAACAUCUCCAAUGGUUCAACAUUGCUGCUGGGGCUCUAGGGCCAGGCUGGAGGAUCCCAGAGGGUAGAACUACUUUCAUUUUAGGUUUGUUUUAUUUUGCACAACAGGCACUGGUCAUAAAUGUGGUUGUUUUCUGUGCAGCUAGGGGCAAACUGCGAUGCACUGCCAGCCAGCCUGCCUCUCAGGCAUGGCACUGGCCUUGGCACUGGUACCACAAGCGGACCAUUUAUUUAGGCUUUUGUUUAUUUGAUUCUGUCCAACUCUUCCCUCUUGUUUUUCCUUGCUGUAACUUGUUUAAUUGUAUCUAAAUUCUAGAUUGCAAGCUGUUUGAGGCAGGGACCCACUUGUGAGAGAUGCCUACCUUGUCUUUGGAUGCAGUACAAAUACAACCACAAUAAUUAUUAGACUGUCUGGGAUAAGCCCUGAAAAAAACUUGUCUAAGCUAGAGGACUGAGAAUCUUACUAAUGCAUAUGGGGGAGCAUUGCAGAGACUGUGGUGUGGGAAAAUCUGCAGGAGAACUCUUGUCCCCCUCUAUGAUUGCACACACUUAGCCUAUUCAGCAAGUCUUUAGGAAAAUAACUAAGAGGAUUUUCCCCUUCAGAUUAAGUGAUCUCCAAUGAUCUCACCCACGGCAAAUCGGCAGGGGGGGUGGAGAAUGAGGUUAACUACAUUUUUCCUAAAACAGGGGAAGAGAGGCACAUUCAUUUGAAAAUCAUCUGCUAAAUUAACAAAGACGUGAACGUGCAUUAGGCUAAACCUAUUUGGCUUAUUAAAGGCUCCUCUCUCAGAUCAUUUCCUUCUGUGUGUGCCUCUUUAUGUAUUUUCUUUUUUACUUCAGAGACUUUUCUGUUCGUAAUUUCCAAAGUUAAAAAAAAGGAGAUUGUAUCUUUUUAAGGGGCAACCCUCAGCUUUCAGCAGUAAGAAGCAGUAUAUACAAUAGUCAGCCUGAGAUCCUAUAUGAAGAUCAAAGACAAGACUGCAUGUAGUUAAUAUAGUAAUAGGCGAUUAUGACCAUCUCAGUGAAAGAAAGUGAGAGUGAUGAUUUUUUACUUUCUGUUACGAAAACAUUUCUAGAAAUAUUUUGUCAUAACUUUGUUUGAAGAUAUUUUACUUUCCUGGGAAAAAGGUUUAAGUUCAAUGAAUUUGACUCUCAUGGUUCAUUACUUUGACUCCUACUGAUCUCACAAGGCUCUGGGAUUAAGCUCUCGCUCUUUUUCUUUUAAUUCUCUGCUAAAGCAACUCUCCUGUUUAACAAGCUGUAUAGAAUGAAUGCAAAAAAUUCAACAAAGAAAUUUGUAGUACCUACUGUGUUGACAUCCAAUAAAGAAGAAAAAGGAAAUAAAAUGCAGACUGUUUUCAAGGAAAAACUAGUAGAAUUUUUCUUUACAUUACAGACUUUUUUUUCCCCCUAAUAGCUUGAACUCUUAUUAGAUGAAGUUUUGGAUUAGUAGAGAGGGAGGGAGGGAACUACAAGCUCUUUUUUUUCCCAUUUAUAUAGGCACUUGUACUAGGAUUUGUUUGUACUUGGGCUGGGGUUUUCAAAUAUGUUCCUAGUUUUGCUUACAUUAAAAUCAAUGGGAAUUUUACCACUGAAAUCAAUGGAAACAGAGUUAGCUCAUUCCCAGGUGUUCUUGAAAAUGUUACCUUUGAGAACCUAUGAGAGCUUUUCUAACCCCAUCGCUACUGCAGGGGCUGUGUCUCUGUGCAGCCAGGGGUCUGCCAUGUAUGUCUUAUGGCAGGAGCUGGAUCCAUCAGAGUGAGUGAAGGAUCUUUAGCUGUCAGGGCUCCUUCCAUUUUCCACAGCAUUCAUCUUCAGGAAGCCUUUUUUGACACCCCACCCCUUUCAUCCUUUGCCAAUAUCUCCCUACUCAAUGUAAUUUUGCAUCAAACUAAGGAAAAGAGAAUUAAUUUGUAAUCAAACACUUUCCCUUCGUUUUAGUAUGCCUACAAAAACAAGCUCUUUAGUUAUUCAAGUGUGUGAGAGCUCUUCUGUGCAGCUGCACUUUUUUAUUUAAAAUUUAUUUUAGCAAAAGAAGACUGAUUCUAGCAUUCUGCUCUCUACAGGAGUAACCACCAAAAUCCAGGUAUAAAAAUAUUACAUGUAUGGUAUUAAUAGACAUGUUCUUUAAUAUUUAAAGCCCCCAAAAGCUGUCAUUAUUGCUCAAAAUUGAGUGGAUUUAUAAAGUUGAAACAUUUAAGGUAAUCAUCAAUCUCAAAUAAGUGGGUUUUCUUGGGGGAGGAAUGAGGGGGUGAGUGAUGCCUUUUUUUCUCUUCUUUUGCUCCUGUCAUGAGAUUCACUGUAGUGUAAAAUCAACCAAAGCCUAGAUCCUAAUCAUUCCUCUGCUAGUGUGCUGCUUGAAAUAAAGGUAAAUAUUUGUACUUAAAAACUUCCAAAUCCCUCUUGAAAUCAAUAAGCAAGCUUCCAUAGUCUUGAAUGGAGCAAUAUUUGAAUUAAGGGCAUUGCUUGUAUCAAUGGUUUCCAGCCGAUACUUUGGCUUACUAGAUUCAAUGUGGUGGUAGAUUUUCAAAUGAAGCUGUGACUCAUACAUGUAGCAGUUUGGUUCCAAGUAGCUCUGACUUCCAUUCUUUAAUAUGCAGACAAGGUUCUUUGGAUGAAUCUGAUAUUGUUUAUUAGACCAACUUGAAUAGUGGGGAAAAAAAAUUUCUUAGCAAGUUUUCAGGUUUAAAAACACUGUCAGGCUGAGGAAGCAUUUGCAGUUGGUGUGUGCUCUUCCUGGUUGGAAUGAAUACUGGGGAGUCAGAUGUUAGGCAGGUUAUAAAGUGUCAUAAAUCCAAUGUCUAUAUUUAGUCCAUGACUUCAUGUACCCAGGAGGUUGAUGAAGUGAAGUUCGUAGGCUCAUCUGUGAAAAGUGUUUUGUAAAUUCCCUUUGAGGAUUAGAACUGAGAAAUUGGAGAGGGAGUGGCUUUCUUGUGAGAAAUGUGCCCCCACCGGUAGUUGGGUAUGCCUGUCUUUGAUAGAUUUCCGGUGUGCGUUCGUUCUGGUGCGCAGCUGUUGUUUGCUUUCUCCUAUGUAUUUUCCAUCAGGGCAUUGGAUGAGAUGCAGUACAUUUCUGAAAGUGCAGCUGUAAGAUGCAGGAAUGCUGAUGGCUCUGUUGUGGGGUGUAGUCAUUGUGGGGUGGUGGAGAUGUGUUGGCAGGUUUUGCAUUUCUUGUCCUGGCACGGUCUGGAUCCAUUUGGUGUGUUCUUGGCUGUAGGAAGUUUGCUUCUGGUGAUGAGGUUAGUGAGGUUCGAUGCUUGUUUGAAGGCUAGGAUGGGUGGUUCUGGGAAGAUCUCUUUAAGAAUAGGGUCUCCUUCUAGUAUGGGUUGCAACUGUUUGAGGACUUUCCAUAUGAGGGAGGGGAGAUGUCAUAACCAACAGUGUGUGAUUUGUGGGGGGUUUGUCUUCUGUACUGCAGCAAUUCUUCAUGUGGUAUCCAGGUGGCUCUUUCAAAUGUGCGAUCUAUCUCUGAAGGAAUGCCCUUGUUGGGUGAAAGCCUGUUUAAAAUUAGUGAGGUGGCAAUCCCAGAUGUUCGCCUCAGUGCAGAUUCAGUGGUAUCUGAGGGCUUGGCUGGUUCUGUGCAGAUAUGUAUGCUGGUCUGUGGGUUUUUUGUAUAACAUGGUCAGUAUUUUACCCUUCUGGAUACUGAUCAUUGUGUCUAAAAAGGAGAUGUUGGUGCUGGAGUAUUCAAGAGCUAGUUGGAUGGAGGGAUGAUAAUUGGUGAAUUUCUGAUGGAACUCAAUCGGUGAUUGCAGGUUUUUAGUCCAAAUCAUGAAGAUGUCAUCGAUAUAUCUUAAGUAUAGCAAGGGUUUGGUGGUUCAGUCCUUGAGGAAUUUAUCUUCCAGGUGGUUCAUAAAAAGGUUGGCAUACUGUGGGGCCAUUUUGGUGCCCAUAGCUGUGCCCACAGUCUGGAGGAAGUGUUGGUUAUUAAAAGUGAAAUUGUGUGUGAGGAUGAAGUGUAUAAGGUCAGUAAUACCUUUGGGUCUCUACUCUUGAGUUGUCAUCUUGCUCACAUAGGCAUGCAAGGCAGGCUUGGAUGCCAUCCUGAUGUGGGAUGUUGGUAUAUAAGCUGGUAACAUCCAUGGUGGCUAGGAGGGUGGUGCUGGGGAGGUAGUCUAUGCUUUCAAGUUUCCAUAGAAAGUCUAGUGUCUUGGACAAAACUUGCUCUCCAUCUUCCCACACUUCACCUAGGUGUUGUGAUCUAGGGGGUGAUGAGCAGCUUUAGCAUUGAUUCAACAAAACCUUAUAUUCCCUCAGUUAGGGUUUCGUGAUUGGAUAUGAUAGAUCUGCCAGGUUUUCUUUGUUUGUAGAUUUUAGGGAGCAGGUGAAAAGUCCCUGGGUUAGGUAGUGGGGAGAUCAAGGUCUGUAGUUUUUCUUGUAGUUCUGAUGAAAACAAUUUGAUGGUAUUUUUGAGUUUCAAGGUAGACAGGGGAGUUAGGAUCUUCUUGUAGUUUUUUGUAAUAGGUGGUGUCAGAAAGUUGUCUGUUGGCUUCCUUUUAUGUAGUCUUCAUGGUUAAGUCUGCCUAUAUCCUUAGACCAACACGGCUACAACCUACACUCUUGAUUCUUUGAUUUGAAUAUUCAGAUCUACUGUACUGUAGUACUGAUCAAAUCCAAUAUGCACUGAUCCUGAGGAAAGGACUCUGACUGGCUUCAGUGGCUUUGGAGCGAGCUUAAAAGUAACACGUAUGUUUGAGUGCAGAAAUUGGGAUCCUGGGUAUUUUUCAACAAAUCUGUCUUCUUUUUCUUGGAAACUACCAGGUUGUCAAAACUGAAACCUUUCACAGCAGUAUACCAGUUCAGCAAAACUUUCAUUGGGAAAAGUUCCCCGGGUCCAGGAUGGAAUUUCUGGUCAAAAGAGAGAGAGACUGAUCCCAUAAUAACAAAUAGCUUAGUGAUCACAACACCUAGAUGAAGCGUGGGAAGAUGGCAGAGCAGGAACUUAGACCUGGGUCUCUUGCUUCCCACUCUAAUGCCCCAACCACCAGGCCAUUUGCUACGGUGGGAUGGAAGGUUUUUACUUUUCUUUUUUUUUUUUAGUUCCUUUAUUCCCUUGUCAUGAAAGACCUCAGAGGCAUUUGAUUUUGUUCUGAUGCAGAACAGAACAAUUUUGAAAUCCCCAAGUUUUAGAAGACAGGAGCUUCAGCUCUCUUUGGGAGACUUUGGAAGGAUGGAGAGAAAUCUGCUCUGAGCUUCAGCAUAGCCCACACACUUGCUCCCAACAGACACACACAUUGACACAGUCAUAUGCUUUCUUACCAUGGACACUGUUUUCUUCAUUGCACCAACAGGGCCCAGUCCUCAGGUUUGUAUCUGUUAAACUCUAACUCAGCCAGAUUUGCAUUGAAUUUCAAUAUUUCUAAUUUGGAUCGCCAGUCAUGGACCAGACCCUGGUGUGCUUGAUGCUGUACAAACCCAAAACAACAAUACAGUGCCUAUUCCAAAGGCCUUACCAUCUAAGUAAUGAGAGUUUGGCUAGGUAAAGAUGUAAUGGCUGGCCUGUAACAUGGUUGCAGCAGCAACACUAGGGAUGUAUACAGAGAUAUUUGUAAGUGUACAAGAAUUAGUUUAAAUGAUAGGGCAGCUUGAAAAAUGUCCCUGUCUCUCUUUUCAAAACAUCUUUCUUUUAUGAUCCUUCCUUCUUGCUGGUCCAUCUGGUCAUCUCCUAUUUUUCUUAAUGCAGACAUUCUUAUUUCCCCUCUAAUUUCUCUCAAAGUCUCUGUACUCUGUGUGUUGUUAUCUUGAGCUUCAAUCUAGGCCUGUUUGCUGUUCUUUUCUUGGCACUGCAAGUGGUCUGAGCAGUGGUUUCUCCUCUUGUGUAUUUAUCAGCUUUCACCGGUAAUAUUCCUGUGUUGGACCUUUUCAUAGUGGGCUCCAAUUGCCUUCUGUUUCAGCUGUGUGGUGUUUUGCUUUCUUAUUUUGGGAGUUUUAUGUAUUGUUUUGUCUUCACAUUUCAAUAAAGUAAAAUACUGAGUUUUUCUCUAUUUCUGGAAUGGAUUGUUGAUUUUUUUUUUUUUAGGGUUGUUGUUUUUUUUUUUGUUUUGUUUUAAUAUCAAAUGAGAAAAACUAUGAACAAGAAGGGAAAGCCCAAGACUUUGCAUUCCAGUCUUCUUUCUACCACAAGAAACCAAGAAUUCCUUCUAUUUAAGACAGUCACAGAUUUUAUCACCGUGACUGGUUUCCAUUAGCUUUUUAAGUACAAAGACAUUUACUAAAGUUGAAAGCUGUCUCUUACGUGAUGACAGACUUUGCCUGUUUUAAUAUUUUUCCUGGUCAACUACCAAAUCCUAAGUCUACCAUGGUCUACAGCCAAUAUCCAGUCUUCACUGCUCCUCUGGCAGCAAAUAUGAUGUAGCCAGAAAGAUAUAUUUCUAGGCUUUUAUGAAACUGUAGUAUCUUGCUUUUAUGAAAACAACCAUUUUUAAAUGUACAAAGAAGUACUUCAUCGAGGUCUUCUCAAAAGGCAGGAAUACCAUAAACGUGCAAAGGUGAGGCCAAGUUUGUUUUGCGGUAUAGGGCCUUGUCUUUGCUAGAAAGCUGCUCUAAGUUGGUAGAAAUUUACAGGAUAUAGGUAAAAUGCUACAUCCCCUCCCCUUCCUGCCAUGUACAUGCAUGUACACCAGCAUAAAUGGGUUUUAUGCCAGUAUCAUUUACUCCUGCAUUGGAAGGGGAAAUAGGCCACAACAAUAAGCAAUAAGGAAUAUAUUGAAAUACUUUAUACUGGAAUAUUUACGUCUGCACUUGGUAUAACUAUUUUUAUUUUUAUUUUUUUAUUUUUUUUUUUUUUAAUUACCGCCCUAGCUGCCAUGAUUCUACCUGUUCAAAAAUGUGUGUAUGUUAUUGGCUGUACCAAGCUAGGACGCAGUGACAUAACUGAGGAUGGAUGACCAAAGCAGCAGCUUCAGGCACUGCCGUUGCAGCGAGCCCCAUAAAAUAGCUGUUGCUAUACCUGGUGCUGGACAUACCACUGCAGCUGGUAGUACAGCAGCUAGCACUGCCCUGAGUGCUGCAGCUGUUCAGGGCACAAAGCUGCCCUGUUACAUCUCUGCUGAGACACAGCGAUAAGAAGCGUGCUUUUAUUUCUGCUAACUUGGAUUUCCUCUUUCUCCUGCUAAAGCCAAACAAUCAUCUGAGGUGGAAUCAGGCACUUGGAACCAGCUUGUCAAGACAUGUGUUCCCAUUAAGGCACUUGAAUGACAUGACCUGAUUUUUUUUUUUCAGUAGUGCUUAGUGUGCAGCAGCUCCCCUUAGCUGCUUUAUUCAGAUGUCUAACUGGCAGUGGAGAUCUGGUGCCAUGUCCUUGGAAGAGCGCUGAGAUAUGCAGCUCGCUUCCCUGGCUAGUCUGAUGUUUGUUUCAAUCCCCAAUCAAUUUGGUUCCACGUUAAAGUUUGAGGGUCUAUAAAGGUGUUUUGGUUUAUUUGAUCUUCAGGCUAAAUCUUCUCUAAGCCCUGGUUGGGACAGUCCUUCCUAAGCCACAUACUUUUAUAGUGUAUUAAGAUCAUGGCAACCAUUCCCUGACCAUGUGGAGAUGUAACUUAUACCAGCAAAGGAGUCCUUUAUCCAAUACAGCUUAUUCAUUUGAGUAGAUGAGGAAAGAACUCCUUUUGCUGGUAGAAAGCUGCAUCCCCACUGGGGAGCAUUGCAGGUAUAAUAAAGUCAUUGUGGUCUACAUCAAUGGUGCUCAAUCUUUUCUCCUCAUGGGCCAGAUGAGCAGUGCCUCAUCUACCCACAGGCCAGAUCCAGCUGGUGGUCCUGAUCCAGCACCUGGGCCAGGUGUAGUGGGCACCAUCAGGCUACAUGGAGGGGUGUGGAAAGAGGGUUGAUAAGUGUUGGUUCUGACACAACUGGUAUAUGGCACAUAUAUGUAUACCCAUAAGGAGCUCAGUAAGACAGUAAGACUACCCAAAAAGGCCACUAAACAGGUGUCAAACAAUGACAGAUUUCAGUCACUAGCCAGCUAGGAUAAAUGUGAACAGAUAGCUGAGAGGGGAAAGAUUCCUCCCACAUAGGAUUUAUUAACAGUAUAGAUUUUUUAUUUUUUUUUUUAAGUUCCCUGGAAAAGAACUAUUACCAGGAAAGUUCUCACUCAGUCUUUUUUACUAGGGCUGUGUGAAGCUUUGGUUGCUGAUUUCAAUUUGGAGAAGAUUCGGCAGCUGAAUCUCCAAAAUGGAAUUGAAUCGGGGGACCAAUAAAAAAAGUCCAAAUCGAUUCAAAGCCUCCAAAUCAAUUUGGAGAUUCAGACAGUCCCCGCUCGCCACCACAGGGACCAGGACCUGGACUCUGUGCUGGUUGUCACAUGGCGAGUUAUCCACCACAGUAGCCAGUUUGCCAGAAGAGAAUUACAGAACUCCAGCAAGAAUGGAGAAUCACAGCUAAAUGUAGUGGAAAAUAAUGGAUACCAUUAUGCUACUAGACCACACUACUGCUAAUGGAUGCUAUUUCCUUUGGGACACUGUGUAGAUAAAUAUGGUAUCGGAGCACACAGAGAUAGUAAAAAUUGUCACGUUCAGUACAGGUUACUGAAGUGAUGGGAUUUUAGGUACAAAUCCAUGUAAGAUGAAUAUUUGGUUGACCUUUCUUAAGUUGCUUAUCUUUUGAUAAAUGUAAUGGACCAUUUCUUGUCUGAUAUUAACCACAGCUGUUGCAUUGGUUGGAUGUUAAUAUAUCUUUUAUGGAUUGUAACUUUUCCAACCUUUAUUCGGUCAGGAAACAGGCAGAGUCCCUAAGGCAAAGUGUUCAUUAGCAUGCAAACAGAAACGGUUACAAGGAGAGUAUGUUCAGACAUGCAAUGGUAGGUGAGGGUGUUUUGUAAGGCUCCAAGGUGUUAAUAGUAAAACUUUCUGGCUACUUA